GAUGAAGAACGCAGCGAAAUGCGAUAAGUAAUGUGAAUUGCAGAAUUCAGUGAAUCAUCGAAUCUUUGAACGCACCUUGCACCCUUUGGCAUUCCGAAGGGUAUGCUCGUUUGAGUGUCAUUGUACUCUCACACUUCCGAUCUUUGGAUUGGGAGCGGUGGACUUGGGUGUUGCUGCUUACUGUGGCUCACCUCAAAUCGAUUCGUGCACCUCUUGGUUGGACAUAGUACGGCGUGAUAAGUGUCUUCGCCGGCACCUCAGUAGAGGGUGGCUGAUCGGGAGCUCUGUGCUUCAAACCGUCCUCGGACAACAACUGACAUCUUGACCUCAAAUCGAGUAGGACUACCCGCUGAAAUUAAGCAUAUCAAUAAGCGGAGGA
rnacentral:misc_RNA from 1 species